GGCCCUGUAGCUCAGUUGGUAGAGCAUCGGAUUGAAAAUCCGUGAGUCACUGGUUCGAGUCCAGUUGGGGCCACCA
rnacentral:tRNA from 1 species